rnacentral:rRNA from 1 species
GAUUAACGCUGGCGGCGUGCAUAACACAUGCCAGUCGAACGAUGAAACUUAGUCGACUUCUUCGGAAAGACACUAAGCGGAUUAGUGGCGAACGGGUGAGUAACGCGUGAGUAACCUGCCUUACACAAGGGGAUAGCCUUUGGAAACGAAGAAUAAUACCCUAUAAAACUAUAAAAGCACAUGCUAGAAUGGUCAAAGUGCUAGCGGUGUAAGAUGGACUUGCGUCUGAUUAGCUAGUUGGUGAGAUAAAAGCUCACCAAGGCAACGAUCAGUAGCCGGCUUGAGAGAGUGUACGGCCACAUUGGGACUGAGACACGGCCCAGACUCCUACGGGAGGCAGCAGUGGGGAAUUUUGCACAAUGGGGGAAACCCUGAUGCAGCGACGCCGCGUGAUUUAGAAGGCCUUCGGGUUGUAAAAAUCUUUUGUAUAGGAAGAAAAUGACAGUACUAUACGAAUAAGGUCCGGCUAAUUACGUG